rnacentral:rRNA from 1 species
GACGAAGGGGGCUAGCGUUGUUCGGAAUUACUGGGCGUAAAGCGCGUGUAGGCGGGUCUUUAAGUCAGGGGUGAAAUGCCAAGGCUCAACCUUGGAACUGCCUUUGAUACUGGAGACCUUGAGUCCGGGAGAGGUGAGUGGAAUUGCGAGUGUAGAGGUGAAAUUCGUAGAUAUUCGCAAGAACACCAGUGGCGAAGGCGGCUCACUGGCCCGGAACUGACGCUGAGAUGCGAAAGCGUGGGGAGCAAACAGG